rnacentral:miRNA from 1 species
UAUAGCAAGUCUGUCUGGUGC